rnacentral:rRNA from 1 species
CUGGGAUUAGAUACCCUGUUAUUUAAAAUGUAAUUAUAAAGACUAAGGUAGUAUUAGAUAUGUUCUUUAAACUUAAAAAAUUUGGCGGUAUUUUAGUCUAUUCAGAGGAACCUGUUUUGUAAUCGAUAAUCCACGAUGGACCUUACUUAAGUUUGUUAAUCAGUUUAUAUACCGUUGUUAUUAGAAUAUUUUAUAAGAAUGUUAAUUUUCAUAAUUUUUUAUAAAAAGUAUAUCAAAUCAAGGUGUAGCUUAUAUUUGAGUAUAAAUGGGUUACAAUAAAUUUAUUUAAGCGGAUAUAAAUUUGAAAUAUUUAUUAAAGAUGGAUUUGAUAGUAAAAUUAUAUAGAUUAAUAAUUUGAUUUUAGCUCUAAAAUAUGUACAAAUCGCCCGUCACUCUCUGA